UACGUAGGUGGCAAGCGUUAUCCGGAAUUAUUGGGCGUAAAGCGCGCGCAGGUGGUUUCUUAAGUCUGAUGUGAAAGCCCACGGCUCAACCGUGGAGGGUCAUUGGAAACUGGGAGACUUGAGUGCAGAAGAGGAAAGUGGAAUUCCAUGUGUAGCGGUGAAAUGCGUAGAGAUAUGGAGGAACACCAGUGGCGAAGGCGACUUUCUGGUCUGUAACUGACACUAAGGCGCGAAAGCGUGGGGAGCAAACAGG
rnacentral:rRNA from 1 species